rnacentral:rRNA from 1 species
GAUGAACGCUGGCGGCGUGCUUAACACAUGCAAGUCGAACGAUGAAGCCCAGCUUGCUUGGUGUGUUCGUGGCGAACGGGUGUGUAACACGUGAGUAACCUGUCCUUAACUCUGGGAUAAGCCUGGGAAAAUGGGUCUAAUAACGGAUAGGAGCGUCCACCGCCUGGGGGGGGUUGGGAAGAUUUAUCGGUUUUGGAUGGACUCGCGGCCUAUCAGCUUGUUGGUGGGGUAAUGGCUCACCAAGGCGACGACGGGUAGCCGGCCUGAGAGGGUGACCGGCCACACUGGGACUGAGACACGGCCCAGACUCCUACGGGAGGCAGCAGUGGGGAAUAUUGCACAAUGGGCGCAAGCCUGAUGCAGCGACGCCGCGUGAGGGAUGACGGCCUUCGGGUUGUAAACCGCUUUCGCUAGGGAAGAAGCGAAAGUGACGGUACCUGCAGAAGAAGCACCGGCUAACUACGUG